CAUGUACUCCCUCCGUCCGGAGAUACUUGUCGAAGAAAUGGAUAUACCUAGACGUAAUUUAGUUCUACAUACAUCGACUUUUAUCCAUUUCUCCGACAAGUAUUUCAAGACGGAGGGAGUAUGUU
rfam:Triticum aestivum genome assembly, contig: Triticum_aestivum_CS42_TGACv1_scaffold_223953_3B